AUCAUCUACACACCUGCUAGUGACAUCAGCAUCAUCUACACACCUGCUAGUGACAUCAGCAUCAUCUACACACAUCAGUUGCCUAUGUGUACUGUUUUUGAAGAAGCAAGAUGGCGCCAGUGUGUUGGUCGGCUUGCCGUCAGCUCCGUCAACUUCUAUGUUUGUUUGUAUUGUCACUUAUGGUAUGUCGGUACUGUCCCGUUGUUGCUACUUACGCUUAUUUACCCCAUCGCUGAGUGCGUCCUUCGACUACCUUGCUGUAUCUCUAACCGCAGGAAGCGUCGGAGGCGCCGAGGCAAACGUGGAGGCGUCCGGGUGAAGAUCAGGAGAGGAGCGAGUGGUUCUCCUGUACAGUCAGGUCUUUGCCAGCUCUCUGAAGCCAUCCUAGGUCAGAAGGAUCUCUACCUGGCUCCACAUUCAUGGGAUUUGAGAUUCUGAACACAUCAGAAAUCACCAACCCUUCCUGACAUAUCUUACCAGUUUGAGGCGGCUCUCUACAGACUGAGCGGGGACUGGAACCCGCUGCACAUCGACCCCAGCUUCGCUGCGAUGGGAGGGUUCGAGUCUCCCAUCCUGCACGGCCUGUGUUCGUUUGGCUUCUCCGCUCGGCACGUUCUGAAGCAGUACGCCGCUAACCACGUGUCCAGAUACAAGGCCAUCAAGACUUUAACGACUGGGAAUAAAACAUGUUUAAAGCAUGAAGAAGUCUGUUAGAAUGAGCCUCAAAACAAUAAAUGAGCCAUUUAUAUUUAUAUGAUAUGGUUUAGUUUCACACCAGCAGCACUGUUCUACAGCCGAGAAACACACAGCGGUGAUUCAUUACUG